UCUAAAACCUCCUUGUGGCGCCAUAAACUGCCCUGUAGAUCUGGCCCUCUUAGAAGAUCCGCUUUCAAAUUCCUGUGUUCUUUUUCUUUGCCUCUGAUCUUCCAUUUUCUGUGCAAAUGCUUGGAUCCUAGCUAUAUCCAUGUCUUUAUUCAGUGCAGCAAUAGUACAAUCCCUAACCAAAUACGGAUCCAAUCCAUCCACAUACCGAUGAACUCUGUCAUCCAUAGUAACUAUAACAUUAGGAGCAUAUCUGGACAAGGAAUUAAAUCGAAGACUAUACUCCCUCACACUUGUAUUACCCUGUCGAAGAUUUAAGAACUGAUCNNNNN
rnacentral:lncRNA from 1 species